UUUCACUCAUUUGCAUGAUAGGUGCAUACACUCACCUUUCCCAUUCAAUAUAGAUGCUCCUAUAAUCCAAUUAAUCUUCUUAUGUGUGCCUGAUCAGGUGAUUGACAUACUCAGGGGGUGGUAGCAGAAGAGACAUCGUGAUGGGUAUAUUCUAUUUUGUUGUGUAUUUAUGCAUUAAUUAUUUAUGCUGGGGUUACUAAUGCUUCUUUGUUUUUGUUUUUGUUUUGUUUUUCUUUUCCUUCACUGAGCCGAGGGUUGAUUGGAAACAGCCUCUCUGCCCUUUUGGGUAGGGGUAAGNNNNNNNNNNNNNNNNNNNNNNNNNNNNNNNNNNNNNAGCCUCUCUGCCCUUUUGGGUAGGGGUAAGGCUCGUCUACAUAUUACCCUCCUCAGACCCCACUUUGUGGGACUAUACUGGGUAGUUGUUGUUGUUGUGUAUUUAUGCAAUUAAAUUGUUGUGUCUAGUCAAUGAGAAAGAACAGGACAUUCCAUUGACUAUAAUCAAACUACAAAACUUGGUAUUUGUGCAUAGGUUUUGGGGACAUUAAACUUCGUAAAAUGAACCAAUCUGCUUUAUAUUUUUCCAGAAUCUAGCCUUCUAGAAAUGAUGAAGUGAAACAGAUGACAUGUUUGUCUUUUUUGAUAAACGAACAAUUCACUAGAGGACCAGUUGUAGUAUCCUAGGGAAAUUGUAACUGGGUUCGUUUCCAGCAACAAAUGUGCAUUUAUGACAGCUUUAUGUGUUAAAUUGUGAUGAUAGGUGCACUCAUUUGAACAGAUGCAGUGACGUGUAUAUUUAUAUACACAUACAAGUUAGAAACAAAUUCUGAAAAAUAAGUUGCUUUUCCCUUUUUCGUUUCGGUUUCCUCACAUGGGUAUUUGAAUGCUUUUAAGAUUUUUGUGGAGCAAGUUUUAGCAAAGCGAAAAGCAAAUAUCUGACAAUAGGCCGUGAUUCCAGGCAGGAGUUAGAGAGAGAGAGAGAGGCUUUGUCCAUUGAAGGCUU
rnacentral:lncRNA from 1 species